rnacentral:rRNA from 1 species
UACGAAGGGGGCUAGCGUUGCUCGGAAUCACUGGGCGUAAAGCGCACGUAGGCGGGUCUUUAAGUCAGGGGUGAAAUCCUGGAGCUCAACUCCAGAACUGCCUUUGAUACUGAAGAUCUCGAGUCCGGAAGAGGUGAGUGGAACUCCGAGUGUAGAGGUGAAAUUCGUAGAUAUUCGCAAGAACACCAGUGGCGAAGGCGGCUAACUGGUCCGGUACUGACGCUGAGGUGCGAAAGCGUGGGGAGCAAACAGG